GCAUGCUUGGGGGCAACAGAAUGCUGACAACUAACUCUCGCUCGCUGACUCUCGGCACCCGCGCGCCUGAUCUCCUGCUCUACGCCGGCAAGCGAGUGGGCGUGAGUCCCUGCGGACAGCAUAUUUAAUACCUUCCUUUGUGUACUCCAUUCAUUCACGUCCGCACGCAUUCCUCGCGACACGGUGGUGCGACGAGAUCGGGGGGACGACGGGGCCUGUCCCCUCGCUGCCCAGUGGCGGCGCGCUCUUUGCUCUGCCUGUGAGUGCGCCUUCCUGUUGCCAUAUGGGCCGCGGAUGGGCGACAGUGACCGCACGGCCCCUUGUCUCCCGUUGUGUCUUCUGUCCAUGCGUCCAGAAGGUAGGUCUCGCCCCCGGGCCCCCCUGCAUGUCCCCACCCGGUGGCACCGUACGCUGGAAGGACGUGUAGCGCCGCACUUUCGCCAGUGCGCACGCACAGGCGUAUGCGCGUGUCUGUGCUCUUGUACGGCAGACGCGCUCGACUCCUGCCGGCAUGGCCUCGGUGUAGGCGGCCCGACCGCCUACACACACGCCGGACGUCGGAUUGACUGAGGUGGAAGGGCCGACUCGCCCAUAGCGUCGGCGUAACUCCGUCCCCUUUCGCCAUCUCUCUCUCACGCUGGGAAAGGGACGACAGCACUUCCGGCAAUUUUCGAUUAUGCGCGCACCUCUCCAAGAUAGAAUAGAAGCGAAAAGAAGCAAUGCCCAAGAUGAAAACGAACAGAGCAGAACAAGGUGGUUGGAGGGUGAAAGGUGUUGCUCCCAGAUGGAAGCACAUCGAUUGUGGCGCCUCUUGCGUGGCACUUGUGCUUCCUUGAGCUAUGUGUGGCAAUGAGGUCUGUGUGAGCGUGCUUGCCUGUGCGGAGAUGGAAAAGUAGGUCGGAAAGCUGGUGUGGUGGUGGAGGCAGGGAGAGAGGAAGAGAUUGCGAGGCAGACGAAAGGGGUGAGAAGGAGGACAGCGUGUGUGUGUGCGUGUGUGUCAGAUAGCAGUGCGAGUGCAUCCUCUACGUUCCCCCACCCCUCCUCCUCGUCCUCUUUCCGUAUUCCCCACUCGCGCCCCACCUCCACUCCCGUGUCUCUGCGCAUCUAUCGCACACGCACGCACGCACGCGGAAAGAAGUGUGUUUCGGUAGAGGAGCCCCGAUGGGGCAAGGCGCAGACAAAUGGGAAAGGAAGGCAGCGAGGAUGUCAUGUGCUCCUCUUCGUGAGCCUUCCGAGGGGGUGGGAGGGUGUCGCCGCGCCGACCGCUCAUCGUCUCCUCACCCCCCCCGUAUGCACACACACACACAAAACGGUAAUCUGUGUGUGUGUGCUUCUCCGCCCUCACCACCGUAUCCUCCUCUACCUGCUCUUGAUGUAAGCACGUCUGCACGCCCGAGCACGGACAUGCGCAUGCACGCAAAAGGCUUCGGUAGUUUUCCUUCGUCUCGUCUCUCCUUCACGUCUGUUAUUCCUUGCAUCAUAUAGAUCGCCCACAGCCUGCCCCCUCCCUCG
rnacentral:misc_RNA from 1 species